GGUUAAGUUAGAAAGGGCGCACGGUGGAUGCCUUGCCACUAGGAGGCGAUGCAGGCCGGGACUAACGCCGAUAUGCAACGGGGAGCUGAAAGUAAGCAUUGGUCCGAAGAUUUCCGAAU
rnacentral:rRNA from 1 species